UCGCAUCGCUGCCGCGGGGGAGCCGGAGCUGGCGGGGCCGCUGGGCUGGGCGCAGACCGCCGCCAAAAAUACCCGCGGCCCGAGGAGGCGCCUGCACAGGCGGUUUUGACCUUUCAAUAGAGAGCUGAUUCUGGAGAACAACUUACUUCUGUGAUUGAAAAAUUCUCUCUGGGAAGCUGAUGGAGCAUGAGAAUGAGGAGUAUUGCAUUGAGACAACUGAAUCUGCCACAGUAAGGAUGGAAAUUGCAUGGGUUUCUUUCCUUUUCUUACAUGCAGCGUUUAACUGUGUGGUGAGUCAAAUGUAGACUUUAUUGGUUAUGUAAAUGUGUCACUAAUUUUAGAUACAGUCAAGAUCUUAAAGUGUUUCCUUUAUGAUCUUUUCUUCACUAUCAUGACUCAGUAUCACUUGCUAGAUCUAAUUGUAUUAGCCCUAUUACAUUUUACCAUUAUAAAUCAUACUUGUCCUCAAACCAUACUGGCUUACAUUUUAACUUAUCUCCACCGGAGAUUUGCCCUGAUUCAGGCCUCAGUGGCCAGCCACCAGUGUGGCUGAACAGAUGGAAACCUCUAAUGUAGAUGGGCAAAGCUGUUAUGCUAUAAUUUUUUUCACCACGUACAAUUUCAAAGAAGGGUCUGCUGUACUGGUACAAAUCACAACUUUGCUUAUCUAUAGUAUGGGCUUGCACUGGUGGACCUUACUACAGUGGCUGUUCACCUAUGACUGAAAUUUUCAGUUUAGGUGACACUGGACAGUCUUAGGGAAUUAUCUUUCACUAUCAGGAAAUGCUCAGUAUGGGUUGCCUAUUAAACACUUCAGUGUAAGUUGUUAGUAUAUCAAGUUUACAGGAAGAAAAGAAAUGGUUAGCUAAUUGGUGUAACACUGAGGUAGUCAACCCCAUUUGAAACUAACUCAAAAAAAUUCACUCUAGCCAAACCUUUGAGUGUCGAGGUGUCUGUCUUGUGUCCCAUCUGAGGACAUUUUGCCAAAGUGAGGUUCACUAUCUGGUGUAUGUUAGGUACCUGAUUUAGAACUAGACAGUUUUCCUAUUGGGGCUUCAUCUAUCAGCAGUGUGCUGUGACAUUUACCAUAGGAGACUUUACACAUGCAUUCCAACAGUCAGAGAGAAUCAACUUUUAUAUGAAUCCCUGCCGAAGAAGGUCACUCUCUAGCAGGAGGCUUGUCUUCUUGAGACUCUCCUUUCUGCAAAAGUCACCGAUAUAGCUAAUAUACUGCAGCCCAGGCUGUCAAGAUGGUUGAUUUUGUAGGCCCAGUGCCUUAGUAUUUCUGGCCUCUGCUGCUAAGACCAUUAUGAGAGCUGAUGUGAACCUACAAAGCUGGUCACAGAUAUUGCAUGUGGCAGCUUCUCUAAGUGCAUUUGCAUGGCUUUGACAUCCAAACUGGAGAAUUUAAAGAGAUUGUACUAGUGAGCUGAAGCUGGAUGGAAAUCUAGGGAGACCAAUAUCUAAUUGGGAGGAAACAAACUGUGCACAUACCAUUCUCUUUCUGCUGAACCAAGAAACUAUCAGAAAAACACCUGCCAGUUUGCAGUGUUUUUUACCCUAGUCUUCAUCCUCUGCAUAAUCAUAGGCUCUGUAAUAGAAAUGUCACUGACACUUCCCUUUAUAAUCAGUUGCUUAUAACUUUGCCAAACUUUAACCAUUUGGGUUGCAAUUUUCCACUCAGGGUCUCUGCCACAUGUGGAUUUUAUUUUUCCCUCCCAGCUGUUUCAGAGAACAUUAGGGAAAAAUACAUUGUUUGGCCUAUGUUAAAAAAAAAAAAAUGCUGGCAACCUUUUCCUUGAAAAAAUCUCUAGUGCCCUGUGCUUUGGAGCAAGGACUCCAAAUUUGGGUGUGCGAUGGUCUUUGUGUCUGGGAUGUGUCUUUGUGAAAAAUCCACCCAAGUCUGGGCAAGUUAAGUCUGUGAAAAAUUGCACUUUGCACAUGCUUAAGUAAACUUCUUAGAUUUUAGCAGCUAACUUCCCCAAAGAUUUUGUGUGCACUGGGCAUGCUCCGGCCCAUAGCUGAGCAGGGCUUUCUGUGAAAGUUCAGCUCUCGAGCAGCUGAAAUGAGAGUAGGGAGCCUGUCACUGCUGUGCUUUCAAAGACAACCCCCUUGCUGGGCCGAGGCAAGUUGGAGGAAGAAGCUGCCUGAUUCA